rnacentral:rRNA from 1 species
UACGAAGGGGGCUAGCGUUGUUCGGAAUUACUGGGCGUAAAGCGCACGUAGGCGGCCUAUUAAGUCAGGGGUGAAAUCCCGGGGCUCAACCCCGGAACUGCCUUUGAUACUGGUAGUCUCGAGUCCGGAAGAGGUGAGUGGAAUUCCGAGUGUAGAGGUGAAAUGCGUAGAUAUCGGGAGGAACACCAGUGGCGAAGGCGGCCUUCUGGCUCGUGUCUGACGCUGUAGCGCGAAAGCGUGGGGAGCGAACGGG